rnacentral:tRNA from 1 species
GCCCUGAUGGUGGAAUGGCAGACACACCUGGUUCAGAACCAGAUGCCGAAAGGUGUGCCGGUUCAAAUCCGGCCCAGGGUA